UACGAAGGGGGCUAGCGUUGUUCGGAUUUACUGGGCGUAAAGCGCGCGUAGGCGGAUCGUUAAGUCGGGGGUGAAAUCCUGGAGCUCAACUCCAGAACUGCCUUCGAUACUGGCGAUCUCGAGUCCGGAAGAGGUGAGUGGAACUCCUAGUGUAGAGGUGGAAUUCGUAGAUAUUAGGAAGAACACCAGUGGCGAAGGCGGCUCACUGGUCCGGUACUGACGCUGAUGUGCGAAAGCGUGGGGAGCAAACAGG
rnacentral:rRNA from 1 species